rnacentral:rRNA from 1 species
AACGAACGCUGGCGGCAUGCCUAACACAUGCAAGUCGAACGAGACCUUCGGGUCUAGUGGCGCACGGGUGCGUAACGCGUGGGAACCUGCCCUUAGGUUCGGAAUAACUCCCCGAAAGGGGUGCUAAUACCGGAUAAUGUCUUCGGACCAAAGAUUUAUCGCCUUUGGAUGGGCCCGCGUUGGAUUAGCUAGUUGGUAGGGUAAAAGCCUACCAAGGCGACGAUCCAUAGCUGGUCUGAGAGGAUGAUCAGCCACACUGGGACUGAGACACGGCCCAGACUCCUACGGGAGGCAGCAGUGGGGAAUAUUGGAAAAUGGGCGAAAGCCUGAUACAGCAAUGCCGCGUGAGUGUUGAAGGCCUUAGGGUUGUAAAGCUCUUUUACCCGGGAUGAUAAUGACAGUACCGGGAGAAUAAGCUCCGGCUAACUCCGUG